rnacentral:rRNA from 1 species
UACCAGCACCCCGAGUGGUCGGGACGAUUAUUGGGCCUAAAGCAUCCGUAGCCGGUCAUGCAAGUCCUCCGUUAAAUCCACCUGCUUAACAGAUGGGCUGCGGAGGAUACUAUAAGGCUAGGAGGCGGAAGAGGCAAGCGGUACUCAGUGGGUAGGGGUAAAAUCCUCUGAUCCAUUGAAGACCACCAGUGGCGAAGGCGGCUUGCCAAUACGCGCUCGACGGUGAGGGAUGAAAGCUGGGGGAGCAAACCGG